rnacentral:rRNA from 1 species
GACUUGUGUGCAUGGGAACUCGCGGUCUUCGUCCAAAAGGGCGUUACGACAUGCGGUUCCUGUGCCGUAAAAUCUUCAACUGGAUCGCGCCUGGCCUUCACUGGCCCGGGCGCUGCCAUUCGGUUGAUCGUUUACUGUGAGAAAAUUAGAGUGUUCAAGGCAGGCAUGAUUGCAAUUGAAUAUGUUAGCAUGGAAUAAUAAGAUAAGGCUUCGGCUUUCUCUUUGUUGGUUUCUAAGGCCGAAGUAAUGAUUGAUAGGGACAGUUGGGGGUGCUAGUAUUCAGCGGCCAGAGGUGAAAUUCAUGGAUUCGCUGAAGACUAACUUAUGCGAAAGCAUU